rnacentral:rRNA from 1 species
GACGAACGCUGGCGGCGUGCCUAAUACAUGCAAGUCGAGCGAAGUUUUUCUGGUGCUUGCACUAGAAAAACUUAGCGGCGAACGGGUGAGUAACACGUAAAGAACCUGCCUCAUAGACUGGGACAACUAUUGGAAACGAUAGCUAAUACCGGAUAACAGUAUUUCUCGCAUGAGAGGUAUUUAAAAGUUGGUUAUGCUAACACUAUGAGAUGGCUUUGCGGUGCAUUAGCUAGUUGGUGGGGUAAAGGCCCACCAAGGCGACGAUGCAUAGCCGACCUGAGAGGGUGAUCGGCCACACUGGGACUGAGACACGGCCCAGACUCCUACAGGAGGCAGCAGUAGGGAAUCUUCCGCAAAGGGCGAAAGCCUGACGGAGCAACGCCGCGUGAGUGAAGAAGGAUUUCGGUUCGUAAAGCUCUGUUGUUAGGGAAGAAUGGAUAUGUAGUAACUAUACAUGUAAGAGACGGUACCUAACCAGAAAGCCACGGCUAACUACGUG